AUUGAACGCUGGCGGCAGGCCUAACACAUGCAAGUCGAGCGGUAGAGAGGUGCUUGCAUCUCUUGAGAGCGGCGGACGGGUGAGUAAUGCCUAGGAAUCUGCCUAGUGGUGGGGGAUAACGUUCGGAAACGGACGCUAAUACCGCAUACGUCCUACGGGAGAAAGCGGGGGAUCUUCGGACCUCGCGCCAUUAGAUGAGCCUAGGUCGGAUUAGCUAGUUGGUGAGGUAAUGGCUCACCAAGGCGACGAUCCGUAACUGGUCUGAGAGGAUGAUCAGUCACACUGGAACUGAGACACGGUCCAGACUCCUACGGGAGGCAGCAGUGGGGAAUAUUGGACAAUGGGCGAAAGCCUGAUCCAGCCAUGCCGCGUGUGUGAAGAAGGUCUUCGGAUUGUAAAGCACUUUAAGUUGGGAGGAAGGGCAGUUACCUAAUACGUGAUUGUUUUGACGUUACCGACAGAAUAAGCACCGGCU
rnacentral:rRNA from 1 species